UACGUAGGGACCAAGCGUUGUUCGGAUUGACUGGGCGUUAAGGGUAUGUAGGCGGCCCUUUUUAACUAGGUUGGAAAUGCUCAGGAAGCAGCUGAGACGACUGCCUAAAGAUUAUGGGGCUUGAGUUUGAGCUGAGUUGAGAGAAUUAGCGAAGUAAAGGAGUUAAAUCCUCCGAUCUUGCUAGGAAGGCCUAUGGCGAAAGCACUUUUCUGGCCCAAACUGACGCUGAGGUACGAAAGGUUGGGGAUCAAAGCGG
rnacentral:rRNA from 1 species